rnacentral:rRNA from 1 species
CGGACGGGUGAGUAAUGCCUAGGAAUCUGCCUGGUAGUGGGGGACAACGUUUCGAAAGGAACGCUAAUACCGCAUACGUCCUACGGGAGAAAGCAGGGGACCUUCGGGCCUUGCGCUAUCAGAUGAGCCUAGGUCGGAUUAGCUAGUUGGUGAGGUAAUGGCUCACCAAGGCGACGAUCCGUAACUGGUCUGAGAGGAUGAUCAGUCACACUGGAACUGAGACACGGUCCAGACUCCUACAGGAGGCAGCAGCU